GAAACUGAUAUUUGUACGAGAAGGUAUUGAACGAGAUCCAUCGCAAUCGGCUGCUGAGAACGCCGCCGAAUCCGCCGGCCAUGGGAUUUUUGAAGCCUAAAGUUACUACUACCAAUAAUCUUCAGAAAUUGAAGACGCCGGCGACUCCGCCGCCGGCGCCGGUGGGAGGAUCCUUCAAGACUAAAAUUAGCAAUAAUCAUGAAAUGGGGUUCCUUUCUGCAUUCACCACAAUGCCACUAAUUCCUCUCACACAGUGACAGUGGGUCUCAAUCAGUUCGCGGAAAUGUCUAACUAAGAGUUGGAUAUGGGAGAAUCUGAAUAUUCCAUCUUCAGCUGAGUGUUGUCGAUGAAUUCAAAAUGGAGGCGUUGUCCAUAUGAAGGGGCUUUUACACUGUUUCAAAUCCAUGUAGUUUGACUUGCAGUAUAAUUUUUUGGAUCAACUUUGAGAAACUUUAAUCGUUUUUGCGAAUUCACGUAGCGUUCUUUUCCAAUAAAAAAGAAAAAGAUAGUCACAUUAAAUAGAAACGGGAAAAGAGAAAACGAUUCUUGUUUUCCACAUUAGGUGAAAACACUUUAUGCUUCUGUGCACUUUGGCUGCUAAAGAACUUGGCCGUGUAAUUAGUCUUUGUUUAUUUCACCAGCUGUAAAGAAAAUUUCUUAUAUUGGUAACAGAAACAGAGAAUCAGUUCCCCACUAA